GGAGAGUACCUGGAGAAAAAGCAUCGGCUAACUCCGUGCCAGCAGCCGCGGUAAUACGGAGGAUGCGAGCGUUAUCCGGAUUUAUUGGGUUUAAAGGGUGCGUAGGCGGCCUGCCAAGUCAGCGGUAAAAUUGCGGGGCUCAACCCCGUACAGCCGUUGAAACUGCCGGGCUCGAGUGGGCGAGAAGUAUGCGGAAUGCGUGGUGUAGCGGUGAAAUGCAUAGAUAUCACGCAGAACCCCGAUUGCGAAGGCAGCAUACCGGCGCCCUACUGACGCUGAGGCACGAAAGUGCGGGGAUCAAACAGGAUUAGAUACCCUGGUAGUCCGCACAGUAAACGAUGAAUGCUAGCUGUCCGGGGGGAUUGACCCCUGG
rnacentral:rRNA from 1 species